GAGAGAGAUGAGCUGAAGAGAAACCUGAUACAGAUGUAUCACGAUUCCCAAGACUGGGUGUAUUUCAGGGGUAGUGUCUAUUACAUUUCCUCAAACAUGAAAAACUGGACCGAAAGCAGAGAAUACUGUCAGCAGAGAGGUGCAGACCUGAUCAUUAUCAACAGCUUAGCAGAACAGAAAUUUACUAGAAAUUUCCAACGUCAACUGUGGAUUGGACUGACUGACAGAGAGACAGAGGGGACAUGGAAAUGGGUGGAUGGGACUUCGCUGAACACAAGGUUUACACACCACUUCUAUCUGCAUUGCUGUCAAUAAAAUACUGUUUCUAAAAAAAUAUCUACUGUAAAUCUUGAAUUGCUAUUGUUUAAAAUGUAAGCAUUUGAUAUACAGCAACACAUAUUACAUGCUACUGUGUGUCAAAUGCUUAUUGAUGUGUGUUAUUUGUUGAAGGCUUAUAUUUUGCUUUGGGGUUUCAGUUACUGGACCU